rnacentral:rRNA from 1 species
GGCGGACGGGUGAGUAACGCGUGAGGAACCUGCCUUGAAGAGGGGGACAACAGUUGGAAACGACUGCUAAUACCGCAUGAAGCAUAGAGGUCGCAUGAUCUUUAUGCCAAAGAUUUAUCGCUUCAAGAUGGCCUCGCGUCUGAUUAGCUAGUUGGCGGGGUAACGGCCCACCAAGGCGACGAUCAGUAGCCGGACUGAGAGGUUGAACGGCCACAUUGGGACUGAGAUACGGCCCAGACUCCUACGGGAGGCAGCAGUGGGGAAUAUUGGGCAAUGGGCGCAAGCCUGACCCAGCAACGCCGCGUGAAGGAAGAAGGCUUUCGGGUUGUAGACUUCUUUUAAGAGGGAAGAGCAGAAGACGGUACCUCUAGAAUAAGCCACGGCUAACUACGUGCCAGCAGCCGCGGUAAUACGUAGGUGGCAAGCGUUGUCCGGAUUUACUGGGUGUAAAGGGCGUGCAGCCGGGUCUGCAAGUCAGAUGUGAAAUCCAUGGGCUCAACCCAUGAACUGCAUUUGAAACUGU